GAUGAACGCUGGCGGCGUGCCUAAUACAUGCAAGUCGAGCGAACGGACGAGAAGCUUGCUUCUCUGAUGUUAGCGGCGGACGGGUGAGUAACACGUGGAUAACCUACCUAUAAGACUGGGAUAACUUCGGGAAACCGGAGCUAAUACCGGAUAAUAUUUUGAACCGCAUGGUUCAAAAGUGAAAGACGGUCUUGCUGUCACUUAUAGAUGGAUCCGCGCUGCAUUAGCUAGUUGGUAAGGUAACGGCUUACCAAGGCAACGAUGCAUAGCCGACCUGAGAGGGUGAUCGGCCACACUGGAACUGAGACACGGUCCAGACUCCUACGGGAGGCAGCAGUAGGGAAUCUUCCGCAAUGGGCGAAAGCCUGACGGAGCAACGCCGCGUGAGUGAUGAAGGUCUUCGGAUCGUAAAACUCUGUUAUUAGGGAAGAACAUAUGUGUAAGUAACUGUGCACAUCUUGACGGUACCUAAUCAGAAAGCCACGGCUAACUACGUGCCAGCAGCCGCGGUAAUACGUAGGUGGCAAGCGUUAUCCGGAAUUAUUGGGCGUAAAGCGCGCGUAGGCGGUUUUUUAAGUCUGAUGUGAAAGCCCACGGCUCAACCGUGGAGGGUCAUUGGAAACUGGAAAACUUGAGUGCAGAAGAGGAAAGUGGAAUUCCAUGUGUAGCGGUGAAAUGCGCAGAGAUAUGGAGGAACACCAGUGGCGAAGGCGACUUUCUGGUCUGUAACUGACGCUGAUGUGCGAAAGCGUGGGGAUCAAACAGGAUUAGAUACCCUGGUAGUCCACGCCGUAAACGAUGAGUGCUAAGUGUUAGGGGGUUUCCGCCCCUUAGUGCUGCAGCUAACGCAUUAAGCACUCCGCCUGGGGAGUACGACCGCAAGGUUGAAACUCAAAGGAAUUGACGGGGACCCGCACAAGCGGUGGAGCAUGUGGUUUAAUUCGAAGCAACGCGAAGAACCUUACCAAAUCUUGACAUCCUUUGACAACUCUAGAGAUAGAGCCUUCCCCUUCGGGGGACAAAGUGACAGGUGGUGCAUGGUUGUCGUCAGCUCGUGUCGUGAGAUGUUGGGUUAAGUCCCGCAACGAGCGCAACCCUUAAGCUUAGUUGCCAUCAUUAAGUUGGGCACUCUAAGUUGACUGCCGGUGACAAACCGGAGGAAGGUGGGGAUGACGUCAAAUCAUCAUGCCCCUUAUGAUUUGGGCUACACACGUGCUACAAUGGACAAUACAAAGGGCAGCGAAACCGCGAGGUCAAGCAAAUCCCAUAAAGUUGUUCUCAGUUCGGAUUGUAGUCUGCAACUCGACUACAUGAAGCUGGAAUCGCUAGUAAUCGUAGAUCAGCAUGCUACGGUAAAUACGUUCCCGGGUCU
rnacentral:rRNA from 1 species